rnacentral:rRNA from 1 species
GUAUGGGGAUCUGCCCGAUAGAGGGGAAUAACUACUGGAAACGGUGGCUGAUACCGCAUAAUGUCUACGGACCAAAGCAGGGGCUCUUCGGACCUUGCACUAUCGGAUGAACCCAUAUGGGAUUAGCUAGUAGGUGGGGUAAAGGCUCACCUAGGCGACGAUCUCUAGCUGGUCUGAGAGGAUGAUCAGCCACACUGGGACUGAGACACGGCCCAG